UAACGCGUGGAUAACCUGCCUCACACUGGGGGAUAACAGUUAGAAAUGACUGCUAAUACCGCAUAAGCGCACAGUGCCGCAUGGCAGUGCGUGAAAAACUCCGGUGGUGUGAGAUGGAUCCGCGUCUGAUUAGCCAGUUGGCGGGGUAACGGCCCACCAAAGCGACGAUCAGUAGCCGACCUGAGAGGGUGACCGGCCACAUUGGGACUGAGACACGGCCCAA
rnacentral:rRNA from 1 species